GACGAACGCUGGCGGCGUGCUUAACACAUGCAAGUCGAACGAUGAACCCGGAGCUUGCUCCGGCGGAUUAGUGGCGAACGGGUGAGUAACACGUGAGUAACCUGCCCUUGACUCUGGGAUAACUGCUAGAAAUGGUAGCUAAUACCGGAUACGACCCUCGGUGGCAUCACCAGGGGGUGGAAAGAAUUUCGGUCAAGGAUGGACUCGCGGCUUAUCAGCUAGUUGGUGAGGUAACGGCUCACCAAGGCGACGACGGGUAGCCGGCCUGAGAGGGUGCCCGGCCACACUGGGACUGAGACACGGCCCAGACUCCUACGGGAGGAAGCAGUGGGGAAUAUUGCACAAUGGGCGCGAGCCUGAUGCAGCAACGCGGCGUGGGGGAUGACGGCCUUCGGGUUGUAAACCUCUUUUAGUAGGGAAGAAGCGAAAGUGACGGUACCUGCAGAAAAAGCACCGGCUAACUACGUGCCAGCAGCCGCAGUAA
rnacentral:rRNA from 1 species